UUAAUGACUAUGAUUAAGCCUAGUAGGUAGUGGGACUUUUCCACAGCGAGGAAUGGAUAAUGGAAGCAUUCCGAAGAGCACUACCAAAUUUCAGCUUAGGAGUAGAAUCUAAUCAAUUCCGGUAUUUCACCGUUAACGAAAGUUUGAGUGUAUUCGCUGUGUGCGGAUAAACUAGGGUGGUACCGCGAAGCUUCGUCCCUUUU
rnacentral:ncRNA from 1 species